rnacentral:snRNA from 1 species
ACACUUACCUGGCGCCGGAGCCUCGUUGAUCACCGAGGACGAGCCCCCAUUGUGAGGCGCGGGCAUUGCACUGCCCUCCCGUUGACGCUUGCCAUUCCCCCAAACUGGUGCAGAUGGGGCGUUAAAAUUGCUUAAAUCCGGUUCCAUGCAAGAGAGGGCGCCACCGCA